CUUUCUGGUAUGAAUUCCAGUCCCGAAAAAAAUCCACUGAAUCAUCCACCCGUUUCUGGAAAACCUUCAAUACAACAAGACGGACUCAGUUUUCUUAACAGGAGUGAAAACUGAAUAAGGUUAACUUCCUUUGCAGAGAAACAGACCUGUCUUCUACAAAUUUACAGAACACAGGUGGAGAGAGAAGACCCAGUUUGAGACUGGAUAUUGUUUGCAUGAGAGUGUCUGAUAAGUUUUAUCACAUUAUUUUCUCACUUACAAUCCACCCACCACCAUCUGUAUGCAUGUCACACAUUACAGUCAUGGCCUUGCAGUCCUGGGGGUAGAUGGUGUACCAGCCACUCAGCACGUAUCCUCUGGCUAACAGCUCCCUGCAAUUCUUCGCACCUGGGCAAAAGAAGAAUGAAAGAAUCUAGGCUGGUGGUUCCUGACACUGUUAGACUAUUGAACUCAGAAAAUCCUGCCUCUUAGUUUUCACUCUUUUUUUUUUUCUCAAUUCCAAAAAAAUAAUCAGGCAAUUCUUUUAUUGCAAAAACCAGAAAUGACCACAAGUAGGAAUGUUUUUGACCCUAUGGAUCUCUGGGUUUAUCUUGUGAAUCAUGUUUGUAUAUCUAAUAGGGCUCACACUGUAAGGCACCUGUUGCUUUAUUUAAAGGAUCUUAAGGCAUUCCAGGGGGCCACAGCGCUCUGGUUGAGAAGAGCUGCUGUGGCCUAUACUAGAGAUGAAUAGUUUGAAUGAGUCAAAAGCAUGGUAUUCUGAUGCCUGACUGUCUGGAGACUUAUGCCUGGAUUUCUGUCAUUACAAAGUAAAAAGGCAUGUUUGA